rnacentral:rRNA from 1 species
UACAGAGGGGGCAAGCGUUGUUCGGAAUUACUGGGCGUAAAGGGCGCGUAGGCGGCCUGCUAAGUCGAACGUGAAAUCCCCGAGCUCAACUCGGGAACUGCGUCCGAUACUGGCAGGCUUGAAUCCGGGAGAGGGAUGCGGAAUUCCAGGUGUAGCGGUGAAAUGCGUAGAUAUCAGGAGGAACACCGGUGGCGAAGGCGGAUCUCUGGGCCUUACCUGACGCUCAGGUGCGAAAGCUAGGGGAGCGAACAGG